rfam:Clostridium sp. CAG:914 genomic scaffold, scf93
UUAUCCGGACAAACGCUAUAGUGAUAUAGAGGAAAGUCCACGCUCACACUGUCUGUGAUGAUGGUAGUGUUUGUGCUUAGGGAAAAAAUAACCUAAGGUAGUCUUAUGACUAACGGCAUUCUUUUGGUCUAAGGAAUUUCUAUGAUUAAAAGAAUAUAAAGUGCCACAGAGACGAGUCUAUUUAGAAAUGAAUAGAAUGAAACGAGGUAAACCCCACAAGUGAGAAACCCAAAUAAUGGUAGGGGAACUGUUUUAGAAGAAUAAGAAUGAUAAAACGGAUGGGAAACCAUAGAUAAAUGUUUGUCGCCUCUUUUAGAGGUACAGAACGUGGCUUAUAGGA